rnacentral:rRNA from 1 species
GAACGGGUGAGUAACACGUGGACAACCUGCCUCAAGGCUGGGGAUAACAUUUGGAAACAGAUGCUAAUACCGAAUAAAACUUAGUGUCGCAUGACACAAAGUUAAAAGGCGCUUCGGCGUCACCUAGAGAUGGAUCCGCGGUGCAUUAGUUAGUUGGUGGGGUAAAGGCCUACCAAGACAAUGAUGCAUAGCCGAGUUGAGAGACUGAUCGGCCACAUUGGGACUGAGACACGGCCCAAACUCCUACGGGAGGCUGCAGUAGGGAAUCUUCCACAAUGGGCGAAAGCCUGAUGGAGCAACGCCGCGUGUGUGAUGAAGGCUUUCGGGUCGUAAAGCACUGUUGUAUGGGAAGAACAGCUAGAAUAGGAAAUGAUUUUAGUUUGACGGUACCAUACCAGAAAGGGACGGCUAAAUACGUGCCAGCAGCCGCGGUAAUACGUAUGUCCCGAGCGUUAUCCGGAUUUAUUGGGCGUAAAGCGAGCGCAGAC